ensembl:ncRNA lncRNA:CR44133 long non-coding RNA:CR44133
AGUAGGUCGGAGCUCGGAUGCGGGUCUGGUCGGGUCCACUCCCAACCGAACCCAUCCCGUGCCAUCCCAUCCUAUCGAUUGCAUCCGGCACACCGGUGCGGAUUCGUGGGUCGUGUCCCGGCGAUUAUCACCGUGAUCUGUUGGGCGUGAAACCGAAGAAAACCCUUUGAGCGUGGAAAAAUGUGAGGAAAGUUGCGCCGGCGCAAGGGAAAUCCUUCAAACGUGUGUUUAACCACAAAAGCGACGUGAGUUUAACCAACAUAAUCGACGGUUGGGCGCCCGGAAAAGCCACCACCCGCCUCCUCAUCGUUCCCCGAAAGAGUUGUGAUCCGUCGGCGUGACCUGUGUGACACUUUCAUUUGCCGGGUUAACGCCCCCUCAAAGUCCGGACAGUAUCGAAACCGAAAAUUUAACGCUUGCUUAGCGCCUGAGAUCGCCAGAUGCCCAGAUGUCCGCGGCUCGGUCAUCAUCGAUGAAAACCACAUGGGCCGAACGAACGCCCCUCAUAAUGAGCGCAACGGAUCCGAGCACUCGAUUCUGGACCUAGCCACAAUGGAUUUUCAAUCGCUGUCGGAAUAUGCAUGGGAAUCUGGCCAUGGACAACUUGAUUUUGUGUGUACUUUUUUGCGGUCGCUGGUAGUCGACAGUCAACCAACCACAAUAACAGCGACCACAACAACACCAAUCGAGCAACAGUAGAGGCCGCCCCAGCUACAACAACAACACGUUCCGGCAUGGCCUCUACCUCGGCCUGCCCCCACCCACCCCUUCUUCAACUUUCCGCGCCUGUUGUUGCUGCUGAUGUAGUGAGAGGCGGAGCAACGCAGCACAAAGCGGAGGCAGUAAGUGCGAUAAGGCAGGCAUUAGGCGCAAGCACAAGCGAAUAGUAAGCGAAGGAAGAGAGGAGCCAAAGAGAGGGAUCCACAAAAAGAGAAAGAGUGAGUAGGCGAGUGCGGGAGCGUGGAGCUCGCAUCGAAUAUUUCGAAAUAUUUAAAGCUGUACACGAGACGAAAAUAUUCAUGUUUUCGAAAUGAAUUUGAUCCUUGUUGAAAUCUUGAAAAUCUAAAAACUAUGUCAUAAAUUUAGUCAUAUGUGUAUUUAAUGUAUAUUUAAUGUGUAUAUAUAAUUUAUGAAAUAAAAGAUCUAAUUUCCU